UACGGGGGGAGCAAGCGUUGUUCGGAUUUACUGGGCGUAAAGGGUGCGUAGGCGGUCGUGACAAGUCACUUGUGAAAUCUCCGGGCUUAACUCGGAACGGUCAAGUGAUACUGUCGGACUAGAGUACAGAAGGGGCAACUGGAAUUCUCGGUGUAGCAGUGAAAUGCGUAGAGAUGUGGAGGAACACCGAUGGCGAAGGCAGCCCCCUGGGCUGAGAUUGACGCUCAGGCACGAAAGCGUGGGGAGCAAACAGG
rnacentral:rRNA from 1 species